CAUAAAAGUAGAAAGCCAAAGUUUGAACCAUUAUAGAUAAAAAUACACAGGGCACAAAACCACUCAGAAAACCAACACCUAUUCCAUUAUUGGUAGGAGGAGGAAAGCUUGGUAGAUUGGACUUCCAAGAGGAGAUCACCCUUGGGUUGAUAUAAGGAGCAUAAAGAGCAAUGAGUUACAGGUAGAGAGAAGAGUGACGCAGUGCAGGGGUACCAAGGACUGGGAGAUAAAGUUUCCAUGAGGAAACCCAAGCAUCAAUUUCACUUAAAGUAAUGGAGAUAAGGCCGGGAAAGUAGGCUAAUGAGCCUUAUGUGUCAUGCCAAGAUGAAACGUUAAACAUUAUCCCAAAGGCAAGAAAGCAGCUAGUUAAAGACUUGAUCAGGAAUGGAUUAGAAACCCUAAAAUAACUGCAUAGGGUGAAGAGAAACAAAAUGACCCAUUCAUUAUUAGGGCUGCUGAGGGGUAAUAUGAGAAAUUCAUUAUCUCUUUCAGUCUGCUUAAUACAUAUGUGUUGAUUAUCUUCCAUAUGCCAGGUUCUCUCCUGGGCACUGGUGAUUCAGUGAUGAUCAAUACAGACAUGGCUCCUGCCUUCAGAGAGCUUACAAUCUAGUUGGAGAAAUUGGCAUUUAAUCAAACGAUUAUAAUACAAUGCGCCAUGUACGAUGAUGAGGGAGGUUAAGAUUGCUGUUGAUAGAAGCAUACAGCAGGGAUAUCUUAACAGGGAGACAGGGACACCCCCAGCAGGAAGUGAUGAAUACAUUGUAAUCUGAAGAACACAUCAGAACCAGCCCCCAGGAUAAGAGGAAUAAGGCUAGGAGUAUCCUAGGAGAUGAAACAAUAUGGAUGAAGACCUUGAAGAAAGAAAAUGACCCAUUUAACAAACCCGGAUAGUUUGCUGUAGUUUACUGUAGGCAAAGAGGAGGGGGCCAGGAGGAAAAUGACAGAUACCCAGAGGUCUUGGAAGCCAUGUUAAGGUGAUUUGAGUGCAUAGUCACUCAGUCAUGUCCAGCUUUUCGACCCCAAGGAUUGUAGCCCACCAGCCUCCUCUGACCGUGGAAUUCUAUGGACUGUAGCCCACCAGCCUCCUCUGUCCAUGGAAUUCUCCAAACAAGAAUACUGGAGUGAGUAGCCAUUCCCUUCUCUAGGGGAUCUUUCCAACCCAGGGAUUGAACCAGGGUCUUCUGCAUUGCAGGCAGAUUCUUCACCGUCUAAACCACCAGGGAGACCCUUAAACAACUUAGCAGUAGCAGCAGCAAAGAGCUAUUCACUCAAACAGGCAUACUUGUACUUAUUCUGUGUACAUGUAUUCGAUACCUACUAUAUGCCAGAAACUUACUAAGUAUGGAGAUAUGGGCAUGAAUUAGAUAUGAUCCCCAUCCUCAAAAUCUCACAGUCAGUUGUUAGUGACAGACGUGGAGAUAAUUACCACCAGUGUCCCAAGCAGCACAGGGCAAAAAGCAGUUAAAUCUUCAUGGUUAAGUCACGCAAGCUCACAGACGAAAGAUUGUGACCUGAAUCACAUACAAGUAAUUAAAGUGGAAAGGCAAUGGCACCCCACUCCAGUACUCUUGCCUGGAAACUCCCAUGGACGGAGGAGCCUGGUAGGCUACAGUCCAUGGGGUCGUGAAAGUCGG
ensembl:lncRNA